GCUGUAGCUCAGUGGUAGAGCUUCUACUGUCUGGGCACGCAGAAGGUCCCUGGGUCAACCCUUGGCAUCUCCA